rnacentral:rRNA from 1 species
UACAGAGGGGGCAAGCGUUGUUCGGAAUUACUGGGCGUAAAGCGUGCGUAGACGGUUAUUUAAGUCAGGUGUGAAAGCCCCGGGCUCAACCUGGGAAUUGCAUUUGAGACUGAAUAGCUAGGGUGCGGAAGAGGGAAGCGGAAUUUCCGGUGUAGCGGUGAAAUGCGUAGAUAUCGGAAGGAACACCAGUGGCGAAGGCGGCUUCCUGGUCCAGCACCGACGUUCAGGCACGAAAGCGUGGGGAGCAAACAGG